AACAUGAGCUCACUUUCUUCAGAGCAUUCUUCACAGGGCUCUGUCCUCAGCGUGCCUGCCACUCCAGCAGGACAGGAGCCGAGUCCCACCGUCAGCACCCAGCAGACAGGAGCCGAGUCCCACCGUCAGCACCCAGCACCGCUCCCUCAGCGCUAAAGCACGCUGUGAACGAAUGAAUGACACUUCACAGAGCCAACCCACAGACGGUGCAAAGAGGAUGAGACCUCCAACGUCUAAAUUUAGCUCAAGAAAUGGAGGAAUGGAUUUACUACAGCUCCUCAAAGACAUUCGGUCUCUUUCAAGACAGUUUAGUGCUCCGAAAACAACAGAGAGUGCAACCUGAGGUGUGAGACCGAGAGCCAGCUAUGCUCAGAAGGGUUAUCAGGGGCCCCUGCUCUGAAAUCAGACCCACUACACUGCAGGAGCUGCUUGGGGGAGGGGAAGGAGAGCUGGGGGAGCAGCUGAAGCCAGAGAGAGGCUCAGUGGACACUGCAGAGACCUCUUCCAGCCAUGAUCUGGAGUUUACUUCCACUAUCGGAACCAGCGUAAAAGAAAGAAAGACACGAGAGCAAGAAAGAGCGGCCGACCUGUAUUCACAACUGACCCACACUGGAGAUAACGAUAACGUCGUCAUUGAUAAGG